rnacentral:rRNA from 1 species
AGUGGGGAAUUUUGGACAAUGGGCGCAAGCCUGAUCCAGCCAUGCCGCGUGCGGGAAGAAGGCCUUCGGGUUGUAAACCGCUUUUGGCAGGAACGAAACGGCGUCCCCUAAUACGGGGCGUUAAUGACGGUACCUGCAGAAUAAGCACCGGCUAACUACGUGCCAGCAGCCGCGGUAAUACGUAGGGUGCAAGCGUUAAUCGGAAUUACUGGGCGUAAAGCGUACGCAGGCGGCUAUGCAAGACAGAUGUGAAAUCCCCGGGCUUAACCUGGGAACUGCAUUUGUGACUGCAUGGCUAGAGUUUGUCAGAGGGGGGUGGAAUUCCACGUGUAGCAGUGAAAUGCGUAGAGAUGUGGAGGAACACCGAUGGCGAAGGCAGCCCCCUGGGACACGACUGACGCUCAUGUACGAAAGCGUGGGGAGCAAA